ensembl:lncRNA
AAUGGAUCCAGUCCUAUUUGCUUGGUCCUGUACCCAGCGUAAUACCUUCUAGCCUUUCCAUUACGGUCAAAGCAAUUAUCAGCAAGCCUGGUCACAGGUAACGUCUUUCACAUCAGCUCACCACAGCAUACCAAACGUCUUUUGGGGGGAGUAAGAUGGUCCUGACACCGUGAGAGUCAUUUUAAAGCCGUCCUCUCUCUCGAGGAGGCGGGGCACUGCAAAGGAUGCUGCAGGGACAUCCACGCGGAGGAUGUGCAAGGAGGGAUGAGCCAGCCGGCCCUGCGCCAGCACCCCUGGUGGUCCCAGGAGGCUGGGAGCUCGCUAAGGCCAUCGGAGCGUCUUCUCGAGGCUUUCUGUGUGGAUGGAGUGCCCAGGGAGUGGCCACACUGGGGCCUGAGGCGAAAGUAAGAAUAGAUGCUGGCACAUACUUAGUGAAACUUCCUGCCAUGUUCUGAAUCAUGCAGAAAAAGUAAAUAGAAGCUUGCCGUAAAAAAACCGUGACCGCAUAGAGUCCCCAUUGCCCCAUCUGUUUGCACCUCACUGCCAACCCUCUGGGAGCUGACUGAGGGGCAUGCAGGCCAUGGUAGAGGGGGAUGGGGGCAUGGGAACCGAGGGAGCUCAGAAAUCACGCUCUUUCAGAAACCAUAGACGCUAGCAAACCAACCGUCUGUCUUUAUUUACAGUUUUUGAUAUUUUGUUCAUUAUAGAUUUUUCCAUUAACUUUUAUUUUUCUGUUUAUUUAUUUAUUUUUUUGUCUUUUUGCCAUUUCUUGGGCUGUUCCUGCAGCAUAUGGAGGUUCCCAGGCUAGGGGUUGAAUCGGAGCUGUAGCCCCCACCGGCCUAUGCCAGAGUCAUAGCAACAGGGGACCCGAGCCCUGUGGUGUAGGUCACAGAAAUGGCUCAGAUCCUUUGUUGCUGUGGCGGUGUUGUAGGCCAGCAGCUGCAGCUUUGAUUCGACCCCUAGCCUCGGAAUUUCCAUAUGCGGCAGGUGCGGCCCUAAAAAGAAAAAAAAAAAAAAAUUACCUUGACGACCAAAUUUGGGCUCCUCCUUACAUGGUCCCUCGCUUGCCUCACCCCCAUCCUGGCCCCGAGUUGAAAGGGCCUCAGUGCUGACUCAGUGGCACCAAUGACAGCCCGGGCCUUCCUAGAGGAGUUCAGGAUUCUGGGUCUUUCUAGGACUUCCCAACUUCUUCUACGUUUGGGGAAAAUCCCACCAUAUUUUUCCUCUCUCAGAAGCACAGGCAGGGCAUUCAGCUGCAUGUUUAGGGAGGGGUUUCAAUUCCCUUUGAUAGAGGUGGGGUGUUAUGAGUAGUAAACAUAAUUCUCCAGGUAAAACUGAGUCCCCUGAACGUGUGCAGUGUUGAAGAGGAACUGGGGAUUUGGAUUGCGUUUGGGGUUUUCAUUUGGCUCGUCUACUUUCUAGCUUUAGUCUUUGGGGCUCUGUUUUCUCAUCAGUAAAUGAAAAUAAUGCCCAUGGAUGGGGUGGUGGGAAGAUUCAGUCAAGCAGCCUGGGCAAAGACUCUGGCACAUACCACGCUCGGCAGAUUUCUAGUUUCCCUCUUCAUCCCAAAGAGAGACCCAUGUCCACAAAUGAAUUCUUCGUUUGUUUGUUUUGUUUUUUCAUGGCUGCACCUGUGGCACAUGGAAGUUCCCGCUGCCCCAGCAAAUGGUUAUUCGGUCUUGUAUUUAUUCAGCCACACAGUCAGGGGAUUCUGGCGGCAGACAUUCACUGGGAUUUCAUGCUCAGGCGGGACUUCUGCGCAGCGCCUCACCCUGGCAGUGCCCACGAGAACGCGGCGCUCCCUAGGGAUGCAGGCUUUUUCCAGGCUCCGUGAUGGCUUGUAGGGGGGCCCAGUGCCCUGGGGGGAGGGGCAUACAUGUGAGAGAGGACCUGUCGCCCUGUCGGCUGGUCCUUGGUGUGCGCAGGUCGCUGUGUUCCUGGCAGUCCGGGGAAAGCUGUGUUAAGGUUUGGGGCCGUGGGUCUUGCUGCUUACUUUAAAACUGAAUCCCGUGCUGUCGGAUUCCGCUUGGGGGCAGACCACACAGGCUGGAGGUCCCAAGCCCCAUGUGCCAUCCCCUCUACCUCUGCCACCUUCCGUCUAGGAGAGGCCCCCUGGCCCAGUGCCAGCCAAAGGGACAAAGGAAGCAGCAUUUGCUUAGGGUUCCUGAAAACUUCUGCUGCAGGGUGACUUCCUUUUUCUUUCCGAUGGAACAAACACAGAUGUGACGGGUGGGGCCGUUCUCACCAGAUGGAGACCAUGACGGGGGCCACUCAACAGAAAAGUGAGCCCCUUAUUUGUUUAAGCCGCUGUGGUUAGGAUUUCUGUCACUUUCAGCCCAAAUCCUCUCUUUCUGGUACACCCCCGACUCCUGCGAUCCAGGGGGUACCCAGGAACGUCUGCAGGACUCAUAAGGGAUCAGAUCAGUCUAGGGCACAGCUGGUCACCCCUGUGACUGGAUGAAGCCGUGUUCCUGGCCUUCUCUAGCCUUUGAUGAGCCACCCUGGAGGUCGUCUGGAGUCCUGGACGGUCCACCUCACCUUUCAGCCAGACCUGCCCAGCCCUUUGCCUGGGCUCCGACUGGACCCCCUGCUCCUGGAAGUACACUGGGACCUCUCGUUUGGGCAAAGACACAGUUCCCAGAGAGUAACUACUUGAGAAGGAGGCGAGGUCAGCUUGGUGGACACCGCAGUUAAAGGCCAAAACAUGGCCUUGUUUCAAGAAAUUCUUAACCACCUAUCACAAUCCAUUUCAAGUUUGUUGAUGAGAGGAUGAAUGGUAACUUUGGCAAAACUGGCGGGAAAAGGCGUCGCUGAGACAGAAGUCAUGCACCGUAGUUUUUGAGGAAGGUGCCUUCCUGAUGGAUUGAGGGCAUCAGAGGGAAGGGAUGUCUCAUCCUGCCUACAUUUCCCCCAGGGAGGCAGGGCAGGGGUCCUGGGUCUGCUCCUUCCGAGCCCCUUCCUCUUUGAUUCCAUGGCAGCACUGGACACCAGGGGCUCUCUGGCCUUCCUUGUCCCUCUUUCCAGCUGGGUCCUGCCCUUUACCACCUGUUGGCCACCACGCCGAUCACUGAAGCUGCCACCAGAUGCGUACAGAGCUGUCAUGGGCUUGGUUCCCCAGACAGCCCUGUACGUUUAAACCCAAAGGCGGGAGUAGAAUUCAGGUGCUGAACAGACUUGGAUGGGCUGGGGCGCUGAUGAGCGCUGGCGGGUGAUGGAAGAGUGACAUUUUUAUCAGACAGUAAAAUGCAUAACCCUCUUCCAAAGUUCUGGUUAUAUAUAAGGGUGACAUAUGUUUAUCUGGAAUAGCUCCUGAUGAAUCUGCUUUUUAAAAAGCUCCAGACAAAAACAGUCUUCUGUAGGUUGUGACAACUGUGGGGAUGCUAAUUUUGUAGUGAGAGCCAUAAAUUGAUUGACAGGAGGCAAAGCAACCAUGAGGUAGAAGAUGAUUGGCUCAAAGACUGAUGUUGGCCACCAAUAAGAGAAGACGUGGAUGGCCAAGGUGCUGAGGGUGUUCCAAGCAGAUACAAGGAAAACAAGCUUAGGGAAGGAUUCCAACCUGAGGUCCUGUGGCUUCAUCAAGGGCUCUGAUGGGGCUUUGGGUGAGCAGAGGCUCAGGGAGCUGACCCAGCUGCACUGUCUAGGGGAGAGCCUUGUUGAAGGGAUGCUGGGGAAGGAGGUGUUUCCUGAGUGGAGGCAGCGACACCUAUAUGUCUCAGGCACAAAGAACCAUGAUGCUGUGGCCUCCGGGGAGCGCAAACAAAACAGAACAGAACAAAACAAAACCAAAAACCCCCAAACAAAAAAACCAAAUCAACAACUAGGAGAAGGGCAGAACAAGAAGAGCUCAAUCUACAGAUUUUUCUUUUCUUUUUGGCUUUUUAGAGCCACAUCUGUGGCAUAUGGAAGUUCCUAGGCUAGAGGAUGAAUUGGAGCUGCAGCUGCCAGCCUACACCACAGCACCAGCAAUGCCAGAUCCGAGUCACAUCUGCAACCUACACCACUCAUAGCUCACAGCAAUGCCAGAUCCUUAACCCACUGAGCGCGGCCAGGGAUUGAACCCCUGUCCUCAUGGAUACUAGUUGGGGUCAUUACUGCUGAGCCACUGUGGGAACUCUUGGAUUGUUUUAUUUCAUCUUUAUCCCUGGAGUUUGCCUGCCUUUCAGUAACUGGCUACUUAAACUCAACAUGGAGACUCAACUGACUGCACCAUUGGGGGUGGGGUCUUUUCUUUCUGCUUGUCUCCAGGUGAAGCCUGAUGCUUCGCACUUGCUGGCCACCAGGGAGUGUUUGCUGCUUGAGUGGAAAAAUUCACCCUGGUGGACUGGAAUGAGAGGGUUGGGGUCCAAGAGGGGAGAAGCCCUUCUUCCCCUCUUGGGGGUGCUGGAGGCGCUGGCUUCUGGUUUGAGAAGUUUCUGCCUGCCCCAGCCCCACCACCCAUAGACUCAACCUUCUUGUGUCAAACUGGUGGGAGUCAAGACAUUUCUCUUUCUGGGCCAAACACAUGCCUCUGGGGCAGCUGCCCUAAUCAAUGAUUACAGCAAUGAAGACACCGGGAAACAUUUUCUUCGUGUCCUUUAUGAACUGUCUUGCUUAGGAAGAUUUGGACAGCAUUCCAAGUGUGGUCCUGAAUAGACUUGAAUUUUUAUGUGAUCUGCUUUUUUUUUUUAACCACACCUUAAAAAAAUUUUUUUUUGGCUACGCCUGCUGUUCUGGGGCCAGGGAUCAAACCCGAGCCGUGCCGCAGCAGUGACCUGAGUUGCAGCAGUGACAACACCAGGUCCUUAACCCACUAAACCACCAGGAACUCCUGCUUGGUCUCCUUUUUAAAAUGGGCCUCAUUUGUAAACUCAAAUGGACAGUUCCCCACCUGUAGCCCCCACGGUGUAAGCCUCCAUCACAGCAUCAAUACACAGGAUUCACUUAACUGUCCUUUUUACUUGGUGCCCCCACCCUUAUCCCCCUAAGAUGGGGACAUCUUUUUGAUGCCCACAGAGCACCUGGAGCAGUCAACACUUAGGCAUUUUGCUGAAAAUGACUCCAAUGCUAAAGAUUCCAUCAAAGUAUAUCUUUUCAUAUCUGGUGUGAAGAUGCUUCAGUUGCUCAGCUGUUCCAAACAAAUUCACCUUGGGAGUUCCUGUUGUGGCUCCGUGGUAAUGAACCUGACCAGGAUCCAUGAGGAUGCAGGUUCACUCCUUGGCCUUGCUCAGUGGGUUAAGGAUCCGGUGUUGCCGUGAGCUGUGGUGUAUGUCGCAGACGCAGCUUGGAUCCUGCGUUCCUGUGGCUGUGGUGUAGGGUGGCAGCUGUAGCUCCGAUUCAACCCCUGGCCCGGGAACAUCCGUAUGCCUCAGGUGCAUCCCUAAAAAGACAAAAAAAAAAGGACAAAAAAAUUCACCUUUUGUAGCCAAUAAAAAAAGCUGCUAUCAAAAAAAAAAAAAAAAA